UACGUAGGGGGCAAGCGUUGUCCGGAUUUAUUGGGCGUAAAGAGCGUGUAGGCGGCCUGGCAAGUCCGCUGUGAAAACUCGAGGCUUAACCUCGAGACGUCGGUGGAAACUGCCUGGCUAGAGUCCGGAAGAGGAGAGUGGAAUUCCUGGUGUAGCGGUGAAAUGCGUAGAGAUCGGGAGGAACACCAGAGGCGAAGGCGGCCACCUGGACAAGCACUGACACUCAACUGCGAAAGCGUGGGGAGCAAACAGG
rnacentral:rRNA from 1 species